UGCAGAGCAGGAGGAGGUUCUUGGGAGCCCAGCUGCUCCAACGCUGUCUUCAGAAUCAACCUCUGGAUCUCCAGCUUGGCCCUCCUGCCUUGAGACAGCGCUACCUGCUGCCGAAACUCCUCCAGAGCUUGUCUCUUGCUCAGCUGCUCCAACUGUUCCACCGAAACCUGCUGGCAGCUCAGUGAACGGCUCAGCUCCAGCAGCUCCUCCUCCACUGUCGUCUGCCUGCGACCCAGGAAACAGACAGACGACCCGAAUCAGAAAGAGUAGAAUGUUAACAUUUGCGUUUCUGUGAAUGGAUACUCAACUUUUUUUUCUUUUUUUAGAUAUUUUCAAUAAAUAAGCAGACGUUGUCAUUUUUUUGCGUUUGUGUGUGUGCACGUGUGUGUAUGAGAAUGCAUAGUCAAAUGUUUAAACAUAUGAGAUGUUAAUGGAUCGUAAUAAAUGUGAUAAAUGUC